rnacentral:rRNA from 1 species
UACGUAGGGUGCAAGCGUUAAUCGGAAUUACUGGGCGUAAAGCGUGCGCAGGCGGUUUUGUAAGUCUGACGUGAAAUCCCCGGGCUCAACCUGGGAAUUGCGUUGGAGACUGCAAGGCUGGAGUCUGGCAGAGGGGGGGUAGAAUUCCACGUGUAGCAGUGAAAUGCGUAGAGAUGUGGAGGAACACCGAUGGCGAAGGCAGCCCCCUGGGUCAAGACUGACGCUCAUGCACGAAAGCGUGGGGAGCAAACAGGG